UUUGCUUCUCAGCCUCUUGGCUAAGAUCAAGCAUAGGUAUCUGUUCUUAUCAAUUUAACAUCUGAUACAUUCUCUGAGGACAACAUAUUAAAUGAUUUUUGGAGCAGGGAAAUGGAAUAGGAGUUGCUCGGUCUACACCAUACGUUGACCCAGCAUUACAGUACCCCCGGGAAUGGUGCACCCUCU